rnacentral:rRNA from 1 species
GACGAACGCUGGCGGCGUGCUUAACACAUGCAAGUCGAACGAUGAAGCCGGAGCUUGCUCCGGUGGAUUAGUGGCGAACGGGUGAGUAACACGUGAGCAAUCUGCCCUUGACUCUGGGAUAACUGCGGGAAACUGUAGCUAAUACCGGAUACGACACCUUGGGGCAUCCCAGGGUGUGGAAAGAAUUUCGGUCAAGGAUGAGCUCGCGGCCUAUCAGCUAGUUGGUGAGGUAAUGGCUCACCAAGGCGACGACGGGUAGCCGGCCUGAGAGGGUGACUGGACACGCUGGAACUGAGACACGGUCCAGACUCCUACGGGAGGCAGCAGUGGGGAAUAUUGCACAAUGGGCGAAAGCCUGAUGCAGCAACGCCGCGUGAGGGAUGAAGGCCUUCGGGUUGUAAACCUCUUUUAGCAGGGAAGAAGCGAAAGUGACGGUACCUGCAGAAAAAGCACCGGCUAACUACGUGCCAGCCGCCGCAGUAA